UAUCAAUAACUAAACUUAAACAUAACAUCAAGGUGCUUCCUUCAAUCGCAAUGGAUAGAAGGAUUUUGAUUGUCCUUUUGGUUUUUGCUUUAACCAUGAGAUCAGUUUCGGCUAGAACAUGUACUGAGAUUUGCGGACAAAAGCAAAAUUGGUGUGAAAAUCGGUGUAUCUGGGAACCCUUAAUUCAGCGAGUAACCUGCGGGAUGAAAUGCAAGAGGAGAUUUAAAAGAUGCAAUGCAAAAUGUAACUAAUAGUAAAAAGACCACCAAGGAGUCUCAGAACAAAGCAUGUUGUUUUGUCAUCAAUUGUGAUUGAAUAAAAUAUUUUAUGUAA